rnacentral:lncRNA from 1 species
UCCUCCUCCUCCUCUCUCUCUCUCUCUCUAUUCUUUCCCUAUCUUUCUCUCUCUCUGUCUCUCUCACACAGCUCUCACCUGCACCUCUCAGAGAGCUUUUAUCUUAAUGCCUCCGCCGACACAGCUAAUAGAGUCAAAACUAACCCUCUGCCGAGAGAGAGAAGGGGGUGAGGUGGAGCUGCGAGAGAGGAAAAAGAUAAACCGAGAUUGCCCCGUGGACUCUAUAAUCCCGAAACGGCUACGCACUUAUUCGGGUUAAAACCCAAAAAAAAGGACAUGGGAAAAAGGAUGAUGAGGAGGAGGAGGAAGAAGAGGAGGAGAGCCGGUGGCAAGGUCGAAAUAAUGGAGAAACAGACGCAGAGGAGAG